rnacentral:lncRNA from 12 species
UGAACAUCAUUUCUUAUUAUUAUCUGAACAUCAUGUUUUUUUUAUGAAUCUAUGAAUGUUUCUGUACUAAAAAUCUUCAUGAUAUGUAAAUAAAAGAUUUUUACAGCAAUAUUGUAGCAGUGUUGUAUUGUUUGGUUUAUAUAUUUUUUUCUUCUUCAGUUGCAUCUGGUGUUGGAUCAGAUAAACUGUCGGUGUCAGUGAUGGAGGGAGAUUCAGUCAUUUUUCACACUGAUGUUAAAACAAACCAACAAGAAGAUAUUAAAUGGUAUUUCAGCAGCACUCGCAUCGCUCAAAUCAAUAGAGACCUCAGUUUUAUCUGUACAGAUGUUCAGUGUAAUGAAGGUACUGAGAGAUUCAGAGACAGACUGAAGCUGGAUCAUCAUUUUUUUUUUUUUUUCAUACACCAGCUGUUGGUUUGUGUUUCAGGUGUUCCUGCUGUGAAAAAAAAAACAAAAGGAGAAUUGCACUUUGUUUCUGGUGAAAUAAAACCAAAUGAUGUGAUGAUGGAAGAUUCAGAGACAGAGUAAUGGUGAAUCAGACUGGAACUCUGACCAUCACAAACACCAGAACCACAGACUCUGGACUUUAUACACUGCAGAUCAGCAGUUUCAGUAUCACCAGAGUGAAGAGAUUCAGUGUCACUGUCUUUGAUUCAGGGUUGUCUUCAGCUGCUGUAGCAGGAAUAGUUGUUGUUGUUCUGCUUGCAGCCGCAGCUGUGAUUGCUGGUUUGAUUUACUGUCGCUCCAAGAGAUAUAGAAGAGCACCACAGCAUGCACAAUAUCUGAUUGUCAGCAUACCAGCUGAUGCCUUUUCUUGGGCCUGGCCAGAAGAAUUUAUUGAUGCUAUUGCGAUGCAUGCAGUUGAGCUGUAUGUUGUCAUCCUCUACAUUCAUGACGAUGCCAGGGUAGUGUUCAUCAUCAUAUUUCACCAUACAACACCGGCCAACAUGGUCAAUGCUAUUGACCUCUGGUCGCCAUGAAGUUGCUGGAACCUUUGUUUUUAAAUUCAGUCCCACAUCAGCAAGGUAAUUGCUGUU